CAGUAGCCGCGGUAAUACGUAGGUGGCAAGCGUUGUCCGGAAUUAUUGGGCGUAAAGGGCUCGCAGGCGGUUUCUUAAGUCUGAUGUGAAAGCCCCCGGCUCAACCGGGGAGGGUCAUUGGAAACUGGGAAACUUGAGUGCAGAAGAGGAGAGUGGAAUUCCACGUGUAGCGGUGAAAUGCGUAGAGAUGUGGAGGAACACCAGUGGCGAAGGCGACUCUCUGGUCUGUAACUGACGCAGAGGGACGAAAGCGUGGGGAGCGAACAGGAUUAGAUACCCCUGUAGUCCCUGUCUCUUAUAC
rnacentral:rRNA from 1 species